rnacentral:tRNA from 1 species
GGCUCUGUAGUGUAGCGGUUAUCACCCGGGAUUCUGACGACUUGUUAUCUUCCCGUGACCCAGGUUCGAUCCCUGGCAGGGCCU